rnacentral:lncRNA from 1 species
CGUGCGUUGUGUUUGUGUGAGAGAAAGUGUGUGUGUGUUUGUAUCAGAGAAAGCUGUGCGUGUGUUUGUAUGAGAGAAAGCGUGCGUGUGUUUGUAUGAGAGAAAGCGUGUGUAUGAGAGAAAGUGUUUGUAUGAGAGAAAGCGUGCGGUGUUUUGUAUGAGAACGUGGUGUUUGUACGAGA